UCCCGCACAUUUGUCCCUCACCCCAACCCAAUCCCCACCACAGUCCACAGCCCGGUCCCCUUCCUAGAGAGGAGAGUGCUCCACUCCGGCCCGGUGCUCCACUCCUCCACAUACCCGAUCUCCGGCGUGGUGCUGGGGACGAGAGUGCUGCUGCGCAAGCUCGUUCGUGGUUUUUCUUUUAUCUCGAGUUGCUCCAUGUUUUCUUUUUUGGAUCUUGAUUUGCAUCCACUAGAUCUCCGGCGACCCGUCCUGGCCCACCCGCCGCCACCCUACCUUGAGCUCUACACGGAAACGUGGGCGCUGCCGCCGGCCGGCAGAUGCUGAUGCGUAUGUUUCGGCACGUCGCGUCCUAGCAAGCUAGCUACCUGCUGCUGGAUCUGAUGGCACGCGCGGCGGAGCUUUUCUCAUGAACUUUUUCCUUGCCGCUGCUACACUGAUCUUUUCCCUCUAAUCUUUUUCUUGUUGCUGCUUCACUGUGAUUUUUUCUUUGCUGAUUAUGUGCGUUUUGAUAUGGUGAAGAGAUCCUGCUGAUUUCUUUUUGGUCGUUGACUAUGGAAACAAAUCGUUUACUGCUCCGCCCCUCCCCACCUCUUGGCUCCGAUUUCCCCACGCCCCGCCCCACGCGCGUCCGGCCCAAUGCUCCGCGUGCCGCCGGCAAGAUGCCCCACGCACUUCCGGUCGGGUGCCCCUCUCGCCUACGUUUUUUGUCCAGGGAUUACUGCUUGUCAUGGACUGGUUCGUGGCAAAGAUCCAACUGGGGCUCGGUAGAGAUGCCCGUCGGUGUUUGAAUCGGACGAAGAGAGGUUGAUAAUGGAAUCUGGAGGUGCCAGGGAGGUGCGCCUACGACCGUGCUCCCUGCGUGACCAUGGUCUGGUUGCCGUCGACAGUGGGCCCCGCGCGCCGUCGACCGUGUGUAACGCGCGCCGUCUUCGUCCUUGCCCGGCCCUACCGCGAGCCACGAGCUCCGCCACCUGCGUCCUCGUCCAUCGCCGCUCGUCAAGUUUGUCCUGGCUGGCUACAACGACCUGGAGCUGGGCUCCCAUGGGCACGGUUGCUUUUUUUCUGGAUAGGAAGGAGACACAGCGCCGCGUGGUUUUCUUUUGAUCUGAUUUUUCUUCAACCCUUCUGCGAUCUGGAUUCUGAUGUAUUCCCGUUCCAGAUUUGUACAUGGUUCCCGAUCCAGAUCCCAUGUUCAUUCAAAAUACAAAGGCAUUUUGUCAAAGGGAUUUUGUGGUGACGAUAUUAGAAUAAUGUAAUUGAAGAAUUUUUUAAUUUUGUGGUGACAAUAUGAGCACAAUGAGAUUUUGUGGUGACUAUGAUGAACUUUCAUCAGCCUCAAGCAUGAUCUUGUAUUUGUUGUAAUUUUCCCUUUUUUCCAUUUGAUUUUUCUCCUGAGAAUACUUAGUUAGCCUCUAGUUUGUGUCGUUCUUUCUCGAGUUGGUCGAGCGGUUAUCGUGGUGCUGAUAAUAAUAUUUUAUCCGGUGACAAAAAUGCUUAUUAUGAGCCAGUCUACGGUGAUUGA